GACGAACGCUGGCGGCGUGCCUAACACAUGCAAGUUGAGCGGAAAGGCCUCUUUCGUGGGGUACUUGAGUGGCCAACGGGUGAGUAACACGUGAGUAACCUGCCCUCGUUUUUGCGAUAACCUCAGUAAACUGGCGAAAACACCGAACAGAUGCACCCGCUGCAUGGUGGGGGUUGGACAGUUUCGGCGGUUGGGGUUGGGCUCUCGGCUUAUCACCUUGUUGGUGGUGUUUUGUCUUACCAAGGCUUUGCCGGGUAGCCGACCGUAGAGGGUGACCGGCCACAUUGGGACUGAGAUACGGCCCAGUCUCCAACGGUAGGCAGCGGUGGGGAGUCUUACCCAAUGGGUGCAAGCCUGAUGCGGCAACGCUGGGUGCGGGAAGACGGCCUUCGGGUUAUAAACCUCUGUCGCUCAUGACGGAGCAUUGUGUGACGGUAGUGAGUAAAGAAGCACCGGCUAACUACGUG
rnacentral:rRNA from 1 species